GCUCUCUAUUCUUCUGUCAUC
rnacentral:miRNA from 1 species